ACACACACAAUAUGGGUCAUUUAUUAUUUGAAUUACUAAAAGUUGCAGGAAAUGACCUCCACAAAGUCUAGAUUGCAUUAAAACAUUUGUAUUGAUGUGGAGUUUGGCUGCAGGUUCCUUCCUCUCCUGUACACCUACACCUGUCUAACAGGUAUGAAACAUGUUGACAGCCUCGAUGUGACAGUUCUGUUCUGUGUUUAAGCUACAAAGUCCAUCCUCAGAGCUCAUCCUGAACCUCCACAGGACUCACACUCUCUCUCCGCUUCUUCCGCGUCUGCGCGAAAAACGAGAAACUCUGCCUGCCUGCACGCAGCCACGUGCGGCGGACACGUCAUCCUCUCGGACGUGCAGGUGAGAGAAGGAAACAAAAAGUAGAUCAAAGAUCGUCUUUUCUUACGUCGACGAGUCUUGAAGUCGUGACGCAGCAGCCGAGCGUUCCUUCGAUUUCUUCUGACGGCGGUGACGUUAACCGGCUCGUGAAACGUGCUCGGAGUGAGACCUCCUGCCUCAUUCUUUACCUCUUUCCCGGAAUCGACGACAAGCUACACCAAAACAACGUCGACGAGCUGAGGAAGAGGAGCAUCAGCGGGGUUUAGCACAUCUUUGUGAGCGGAGAGCUUUCUGUCAGCGUGUCCAGUCACAUAAAGGUGACUCACAGAAACAUUGAACAGCCUCUGGUGGCGGAGGUGAUGGCGGAGCUGAACACAGAGGCAAAGCUGAAGACGCAGCUGAAGCAGGAGAAGAUCCAGCUGUGGAACCCUCCAUACACCGACGACAACAACCAGCCAGGAGCGCAGCACAUGCAGGUCAGCCUUUAAGGGGUUAAAA